GAUGACCCACAAAAAAUCGAUAUAAAAAAUUGCAUAGUAAUUUUCUUCACAAGACCACCAAAAAAAUUAUGCCACCACCAUUGUUAUUAUCGAAAUUCACAACAACAAUCAUCAUAAAUUUUUGCAUUCACUAUCAAAAUCACAACAUUAUCAUUUUCAAUCAUCAAAAAUAAAAACAUACCCACUACUCAUUUUUUCAUCAAUCACCAACGUCACCACUAAAUAGUGAAGAAUAAGCACUCAAUCAGUGAGAAAAAUAGAUCUAACAAAGUAAAUUGACUGUGAUAAGAAAAAUGGAGAAGAAAAAAAGGACAAAAUGAAAAGAAGAAGAAGAAGAAGAAGAACAAGAACAAGAAAGGUUGUCACUGGCGGAGAGGAGGCUAUGCAUUUUUUCUUUUCUUUUCUUUUGUCUUUUCUAUUUUGAUUUUAUUCCAAGAAUAAGCAAUGUUCAUGGAAGAUCUACAACUAAUACUUCCU
rnacentral:lncRNA from 1 species